rnacentral:rRNA from 1 species
CUACGGGCCGCUGCAGUUAGGAAUAUUUUGCAAUGCACGCAAGUGUGACAAAUUGAGCUAGAGUGCUUUCCAAAUGGAAAGCUUUUAUGGAAUGUAAAAAGUUCCAUGAAUAAGGACUGGGUAAGACUAGUGCCAGCCGCCGCGGUAAUACUAGCGGUCCAAGUCGCAGCCAUUUUUAUUGGGUCUAAAACAUCCGUAGCUUGCUUGAUAAGUUUCUCGUGAAAUCUUGAUUCUCAAGGUUAAGAAUUGCGAGAAGUACUACCAAGCUAGAGACUGGAAGACGUGAAAAGUAUGUUUAAAGUAGUGGUAAAAUAUGUUAAUCUUAAGCAGACUCACAAUAGCGAAGGCAUUUCACGAGGACAGUUCUGACAGUAAGGGAUGAAGGCCAGGGGCGCAAAACGGAUUAGAUACCCCCGUAGUC